GGCGCUAUAGUGUAGUGGCAGCACAUGGGAUUCUGAUGUGAUAACAAGCCUCUCGACUUCCCAUAACCCAGGUUCGACCCCUGGUAGUGCCU